GGCUGAUCCCCAUUGGGGAAGGAUCUUUGGUUGGAGAUCCCUCACUUGAGGAGUUUUUUUUUUGUAAGCGUUGCUUUUUGGAGACAGGACUGCUGGCAAGAAAAAAAAACGUUCAAUAUAGUAACUUAGAGAGUCAAAAGCCCAUAAGAUGCGAGUCUGAAACCAACAGAUGAAUGUGGAGUUUUGCAAUCAAAAACCAGCUUGUUCCUGUUAGACUCUUAGCCAUAGAUGCCAGUGCCAGCCCUUCAUUAUGUAGAGGAUCUACAAACUCAGACCUUACAAUAAUCCAUUUGGGAUCUCAUCCUUUCACAGGUCCGUGGUGUUUCACAACACUUUUCAUGUUGUGAAAUACCUGAACAAAACUGGGGAUGUUUCCCGUACUUUUUUUUUCCCUCAGACUGAACUGGGACAAUGUGUGUAGCUAGCAGUAAGACCAAGAUUGGUAUUGGGAAACUGCUGAGUUUUCAGACUGCACUUCUGGACUGUGUUCAUCAUCAGACCCUCUUCCACCAGAUGUUUGCUGUGCUUACAGCCCAUACAUAUUGGCCCAUGCAUUUCUUGGUCCAAAGAUGUGGUUUCUCAUCCUUCUCUAGGACAAAUCCAUCAGCCACUGCCCUCUCAGGGGAUGCUUUUCUAGCAUAUCCUUAUAACAAAGUGAUGUAUGGAAAUGGUGUCUUGCAACUUAUUUUUCACAAAAAGCCCAUUUACAUGCUUCAUAAAACCUACAAUUCUGCAAACAUCACACAGAGUGGUGAUGUACAGCCAGGCCUUCAGACAUCACCACAUCUGCUCAGAGAAGAAUUAGCAAGACCUCACCAAGUGAAGAUGAUUUUCAGUUCCUAAGACAGUCUCUGAGGAAAUACAUCACGUUUAUGCACAAGUUACUGAGACACUUCAGGAAAGCUUAUUAUGAUAAAAAAAAAAAAAGAAGCUCCCCCAUCCACCUGCACAGGUUGCUCACUUGGUCCUGCACUGGAGACCAUGAAAGAAAAAGAGGUUUGCAGCAGCAGUAUAUGGCUGUGAACAGUUAACAGCCUACACCAAGAGAAGAUUAUGCUACAGAGUUAUUUCCCAGCCUCCCCCUUUCUGUACACCAAAAUAUAGCAAACAGCAGCAAGUUCAGUAAUGCUGUAAAUGUGGAAAUGCAUGGAAGUCAUCAAUAUCUCUCCACAACUUCGGUGACCCGUGUGUGCAAAGCAGAUCAAGAUCCAAGGAUCCUACAUAGAGCAGUGCCAGAACCAAUGUGAGUUAUCUUGCACGCCAGAUGCUCUCCCAUAAGCCCUUAGGCUGAGGUCAAACUACCAGCACGUACCCGAAUGAACUCAUACAAACAAUCUAUAAAGUCUAGGUAAAAACAGUUAUUACUGAGAGAACAGUUUUUUGCAGAAUGACUACUUCAUCCUUGACCUUUCUGUCCCAGUCUUCAGAAGAGACUGAAACCUUCACAAGGAGAAUGUAGGAACUAAAAUUUCAUAACUCUACUGGUGAUUGAAAAUCACGGACGCAGUGGAGACACUGCAUUUUUGGCUUGUUCCUAUUGACCCUUUCCUGUAAUACAAAUGCCAAUGACUCUUCUCUGUCUCUGCUCUGCAGAGGCUAAUAGCUGGUGACAUUCUUCCCUGCCAACCUCUUUCUCCCUCUGGAGGGGUUACCUACCCUUCAUCUCAGCACUUUCCAAACUUUUCCUUUCUGUACUCCAUUUUUCCCCCGGCCAAGUUCUUUGCUCCCUCCCUUAUGUAAAAAGCUGUAUCCUGUAGGAGACACAAGGCUGUGUGCACGCUGAUGCCCAAGCACUGCUUAGCAGACGUGCAGAAGUAUUUAUAUUACAGCUAACGUGAAUUCUGGGGAGG
ensembl:lncRNA